CUUGGUGGAAACAGUUUGAGAACAGUGCACAUUACUGAUAAGUAAUGUACACUUUUAUUCGCCCAACAGAUCUUUCUUGGUUGUGAUUUUGUGAGUAGACGUCCAAGGUCGAGUCCUUAUUUGCGUAAGCUUACUUUAUCAGUGAAGUGAGCGGUGGCGAACCGGAGAGAGGCACCAUCGAGCUCCCGGGGAAGCCCAGCGUCGACUCACUCUCUGCGGGGUUUGCAAUCUAUUGUUAGCCGCUCUGGAAUGACCUCAACUUUGCUCCUUGUAAAAAUUUAAAAGAAGCUUUUGAUCACGAUAGAGAUGAAUUUAAAGAACGGUACGGUGAUGUGACAAGGGCGACAGAGGAGAAGGAGGAGGAGUGGGGGGGGGCCCACCAGAGCCAUCAGAGCCAUCAAGGGUGGCUCCGGCCAGGUGUUAUCCGUGUUAAGGCACCGAGACGCGGAGGAAACCCCGAGGAUCACGGCCUCUUGCUCGGAUGACACCGGCCACACUGCAGCUCUCAGCUAGCGUCCGCCAAGCUAACCAAUGUCUUCCAAGGACUGGAAAUAAACGUUGGAAAUGGCUUGUUGGAUUUCUUCAUUGCAGCGAGUGCGUGGGACUUGUUAGUGGUUCUAUUCGCCGCCGGAUGGACACCGCGGAGCCGCUGUGCUUCGGGCCGUGAUUGACAGUUUAAAGAGCUAAAGGCUGCCCCAGGCACGAUGGAAGGACUUCACAGCCAGGCUCUAAGUUUGGACCCUCGCAGGCAGGAAUUGCUCGAAGCCCGCUUCACUGGAGUUGGUGUGGCCAAGAUCAACAGUGAAUCAUCCAGCCAGUCUCUUUGCAGUGUGGGGUCCCUCAGCGACAAGGAAGUCGAGACACUGGAGAAGAAGGUCGAGCACAGAAGCAGGAAGAGAAAAGGAGACACGUGUGACAUCAACCAUCAGGGAAAGGGACGAGGACACAAAACGAGUGAUUACUUUGAGUUUGCCAGCAGCAGCGGUUCCGGCACCUGUCCGGCCCGCGGCAUCCCCAUGCUGGUGCGCUGUUGCUCUUCCCAGCACUCGCUGUCUAAUCCCUCGUUCCAGCAGAGCAGUCCUUCGUCGGCCGGCUCGGCCCACACCGACUCUUCAUCAUGCAGCUCUGUCAAGAUGGUACCCGCACACUUGUGCUCCCACAAAGCCACCCAGUCUGAGCUGACGCUGCUGAAGCUGACGGCGCUGGAGAGGAACAAGAACUCCGACCUGGAGAAGAAAGAGGGGAGGAUCGAUGACCUGCUGAGGGCUAACUGCGACCUGCGGCGCCAGGUGGAAGAGCAGCAGAAGCUGUUGGAGCGCUACAAGGAGCGCCUCAACAAGUGCGUCACCAUGAGCAAGAAGCUCCUCAUCGAAAAGUCAAAGCAUGAGAAGAGGACGUGCCGGGACAAGAGCAUGCAGGAUCGUCUGCGUCUGGGCCACUUCACCACAGUUCGCCACGGCGCCUCCUUCACCGAGCAGUGGGCUGACGGAAUCGCCUUCCAGAACCUCGUCAAGCAACAAGAGCGCGUCAACUCGCAGCGUGAGGACAUAGAGCGGCAGAGGAAGCUGCUGGGGAAAAGGAAGCCGCCCCCCGUGGCCCAGAUGCAGCCGCCCAGCACUGAGCACAACAAACGAAAGAGCAGGAGCAACGGCCAGGAGAAUGAAGCGCUGUCACUUGCAGAGUAUCACGAGCAAGAGGAGAUAUUCAAACUCCGGAUUGGUCAUUUUAAAAAGGAAGAGGCGGAGAUCCAGACGGAACUGGAGCGGUUGGAGCGAGUCCGGAAUCUGCAUAUCCGCGAGCUGAAGAGAAUCCACAACGAGGACAAUUCGCAAUUUAAAGACCACCCGACGCUGAACGACAGAUAUCUGCUCUUGUAUUUACUUGGAAGAGGGGGCUUCAGUGAAGUUUACAAGGCUUUUGAUUUAACAGAGCAAAGGUAUGUGGCUGUUAAAAUCCACCAGCUCAAAAAGAAUUGGCGUGAGGAGAAGAAGCAGAACUACCACAAGCACGCCUGUAGAGAGUACAGAAUACACAAAGAACUGGAUCACCCUAGGAUAGUCAAGCUUUACGACUACUUCUCACUCGACACUGACUCCUUCUGCACUGUUCUGGAGUACUGCGAGGGAAACGACCUGGACUUCUACUUGAAGCAAAACAAGCUUAUGACGGAGAAGGAGGGCCGCUCCGUUGUCAUGCAGAUUGUCAACGCGCUCAAGUACCUCAAUCAGAUCCGGCCGCCCAUCAUCCACUACGACCUCAAGCCAGGAAACAUCCUGUUGGUGAACGGCUCUGCUUGCGGCGAGAUUAAGAUCACCGACUUCGGCCUGUCGAAGAUCAUGGACGACGACAGCUACAGUUCCGCGGACGGCAUGGAGCUGACCUCGCAGGGGGCGGGGACCUACUGGUACCUUCCUCCGGAGUGCUUCGUGGUCGGCAAAGAGCCUCCUAAAAUAUCCAACAAAGUCGAUGUUUGGUCACUCGGGGUCAUCUUCUAUCAGAGCUUAUAUGGACGCAAGCCAUUUGGUCACAACCAAUCCCAGCAGGAUAUCCUUCAAGAGAACACCAUACUCAAAGCUACCGAGGUGCAGUUCCCCCCAAAACCUGUUGUCACCCCAGAAGCAAAGACUUUCAUCCGUCGCUGCCUGGCCUAUCACAAGGAGGACCGCGUGGAUGUGCUCCAGUUGUCACGGGAACCUUACCUAAUGCCUGCCAUCCGAAAGACCCUCGGCGGCAACGCCAGCGUGCCUCCCACUACGCCUCCUUUCCCUUCCACUUCCAGCUGCUACGGCAACAGCGCCUCCAACUGAAAACUGCGAGGUGACCCAGGCCAGCCCCCAUUUGAGGUUGGUGAGCAUGAACUUGAGCGCCUUGGUCCACUGCUCCUCUGAGUUGAACUGAGUCUUGAUGGAGUACGAGCCGCCGCUGCCGCCCGUGUCCUCGAUCUUGCCCUUCUCCACGUCCAUCCUGACGUCGCGCACACACGCACAUCCAGAGAUGUGAAGAAGGUGCAUUAUUCUGAGCACCCAUGUGAGCCCCCCGACCUCUGGAAGCGCAGUCCCAUCUUGUUGGCCAGCGCGUGCAGCAGCAGCACCGUCUGCCCCCAGGCCGCGUUGAUCUCGUUCCACUCCACGGGCACGCUCGGAAGUCGACCCAAACGGAAGUUGUUGAUGGUGCCGAACUGGCCGCUGUGCCUGGGCGGGACGGAACCAUUCAAACAUUGAAACUGCUGGGCCUGCGCCCGGCUCUGCGUCAGCUCUUGGGCCACGGCGGCCCGUUGCGCCUCGACCGCCUCCAGCUGCUGCACCAGCGCCGCCUCCUCCUCCUUGAGAUGCUGCAGCUCGUCCAGCAACGUCUCCUCGUCCUCCACUUGCAGCUGCGACAGGAGCUCCAGACACUGCCUGAACACAAUACAACAAAGUGGUCCAACAGAGUGUCGGUACAUUCCUCACACAGCGGGUGGUCCACAUCCGUCUGACCGGACAUGAUGUCAAACAGGCACGUUACCUUGAGUCUGCGGCUUAGAUUUUCCAUGGUGCCUCCGUCGGAAGCGUCGCCGAUCAGCGUGAAGCUGUUGGCGCUCUCUGUGGACAUCAUCCUGCUGACAUGGCCCACAGUGAAAAAUAGCUAUACUGUAUAUCUCUCAGCAUACUAGUUUUAGCAUGAUCUUACAGGAAAAAAUGUGCCUCUAAUUUACCCCAGUAGAGUAAUUUGUGCAACCAACUAAGGUAUUUUUUACUUUCUAGCAGAAGCUAGAGCUAAUUCAUGAUUCUUUCAACAAGAAAAUUUAAUUGUACACUUUGAUAAAGAUUAAAAAAAAUAUAUAAAUAACUGUUGUAAAUUGUACAAAUUAAGAUAAUUACUAUAUAUUUAAGUAAUAUUUAAAUAAUUGUGUAUCAAGUUGACAAAAUUCAAAUUCUAAUCAAAUAUAUACAAAACUAAAAUUCUAAACAAAUUUACAAAAUACACUAAAAUAUUUAUUAUAUAAAAUUAUGAUACAUUUUUUAAAAAUAAAAUUAAAAUGCUUACCGUGCAGGUGGGAUGUAUUUCCUUGACACGCCAUCUUGCUUGUUUUCCACAAAGGUCUCCUGAAAUUUAAAUGAAUCUGAAUUAAUUUUAUAGGUUAAAAUUAGUGCAGUGCAGUAGAGUACAGUGCAAGGUGCAUUUAUAUUUACCUCUGUUGUAGUGUCUCCUUCACCGCAAUCUGCCUGUUUGCUCGGCGUGACAGUCACCAAAGGAGCUAAGGGGGGCCAUGCAGAAGCAACACAUUGUAACAGAAUGUAGAGGACAGCAACAAUAAAAUAGUAUUCAAAUAAAAUGUAACUUUA